GGAAAAACUGCAAAGCUAGGGAGUGGGAGAGGUAGACGGUACUCGGUAGGAAGGGGUAAAAUCCUUUGAUCUAUUGAUGACCACCUGUGGCGAAGGCGGUCUACCAGAACACGUUCGACGGUGAGGGAUGAAAGCUGGGGGAGCAAACCGGAUUAGAUACCCGGGUAGUCCCAGCUGUAAACGAUGCAGACUCGGUGAUGCUCUGGCUUGUGGCCAGUGCAGUGCCGCAGGGAAGCCGUUAAGUUUGCCGCCUGGGAAGUACGUACGCAAGUAUGAAACUUAAAGGAAUUGGCGGGGGAGCAUCACAAGGGGUGAAGCCUGCGGUUCAAUUGGAGUCAACGCCAGAAAUCUUACCCGGAGAGACAGCAGAAUGAAGGUCAAGCUGAAGACUUUACCAGACAAGCUGAGAGGUGGUGCAUGGCCGUCGCCAGCUCGUGCCGUGAGAUGUCCUGUUAAGUCAGGUAACGAGCGAGAUCCCUGCCUCUAGUUGCCACCAUUACUCUCAGGAGUAGUGGGGCGAAUUAGCGGGACCGCCGCAGUUAAUGCGGAGGAAGGAAGGGGCCACGGCAGGUCAGUAUGCCCCGAAACUCUGGGGCCACACGCGGGCUGCAAUGGUAGUGACAAUGGGUUCCAAAGCCGAAAGGUGGAGGUAAUCCUCAAACGCUACCACAGUUAUGAUUGAGGGCUGCAACUCGUCCUCAUGAAUAUGGAAUCCCUAGUAACUGCGUGUCAUUAUCGCGCGGUGAAUACGUCCCUGCUCCUUGCACUCACCGCCCGU
rnacentral:rRNA from 1 species